rnacentral:rRNA from 1 species
GACGGAGGGCGCAAGCGUUGUUCGGAAUUAUUGGGCGUAAAGCGCGCGCAGGCGGCCUCUUAAGUCUGAUGUGAAAUCUUGCGGCUCAACCGCAAGCGGCCAUUGGAAACUGGGGGGCUUGAGUACAGAAGAGGAGAGUGGAAUUCCACGUGUAGCGGUGAAAUGCGUAGAUAUGUGGAGGAACACCAGUGGCGAAGGCGACUCUCUGGUCUGUAACUGACGCUGAGGCGCGAAAGCGUGGGGAGCAAACAGG